rnacentral:rRNA from 1 species
UACAGAGGUCUCAAGCGUUGUUCGGAUUCAUUGGGCGUAAAGGGUGCGUAGGUGGCCUCAUAAGUCCGCUGUGAAAGUCAAAGGCUCAACCUUUGAAAGCCGGUGGAUACUGUGAGGCUAGAGUACGGAAGAGGCGAGUGGAAUUCCUGGUGUAGCGGUGGAAUGCGCAGAUAUCAGGAGGAACACCAAUAGCGAAGGCAGCUCGCUGGGACGUUACUGACACUGAGGCGCGAAAGCGUGGGGAGCGAACAGG